AUCUACCCGUCCUCGACGUGCUUGCGGUGGCAGUUGCGGCCGCCGCGCAGGCUAUGCUUGCCGGCGAGGUCAGUGCGCGUGCUCCUCCACAUUGCUCCGCAUUCCCAAAGGCGGCGAGGAGAAGAUGGGAUGAUGGUGCACGAAAACCUCACGUCGACGGCGUUGGUUACCGGCGGUGUGAGACACGAAAAGGCUUUUCGGU
rnacentral:rRNA from 1 species